rnacentral:rRNA from 1 species
CGGAGGAGCAUGUGGUUUAAUUCGAUGAUACGCGAGGAACCUUACCUGGGCUCGAACGUAAGAUGACUGUAGGUGAAAGCUUACAUCUCUUCGGAGCAUUUUUACGAGGUGCUGCAUGGUUGUCGUCAGCUCGUGCCGUGAGGUGUCGGGUUAAGUCCCAUAACGAGCGCAACCCCUACCUUUAGUUGCCAUCAGGUUAAGCUGGGGACUCUAAAGGAACUGCCUACGCAAGUAGUGAGGAAGGCGGGGAUGACGUCAAAUCAGCACGGCCCUUACGUCCAGGGCUACACACGUGCUACAAUGGCCGAUACAGAGGGCAGCUACCUGGUGACAGGAUGCAAAUCUCCAAAGUCGGUCUCAGUUCGGAUCGGAGUCUGCAACCCGACUCCGUGAAGUUGGAUUCGCUAGUAAUCGCGCAUCAGCCAUGGCGCGGUGAAUACGUUCCCGGGCCUU